UGGAACGUUCCUGCUCUUUGGUGGCUUAAA
rnacentral:piRNA from 1 species